UUACAAGGAACGGGAUAUCGAACGUGUUGUUUAAUGAAAACUAAUCUAUUUGCUAAUUUCAUAAUUUAGUGUUAUCUUUGCACUUUUACCAUGAUUCAAAUGCAGUUGAAAAAAAAUGUGACUUUGUGUCUUACUUUGUUGACACUGCUCCAAUUGUCUGCAAUUGUAUGUAUGAAUAUGUGCAAUGGACUACAAGGAGCAAACUGCUGUUCUGGUUUCAAGUGGAAUCUUGCACAUAAUAUAUGUAUACCCUGUGAAUAUGGAUUUGGAGGAGAAAACUGCAAAUUGAAGUGUCAGUACCCUUGGUAUGGAAAGAACUGCCAGUUAUUUUGUUUUUGUGAUUAUCAAAACUGUGAUAAUGUCAAUGGUUGUAUACAGCGUACGAAAAACAUUUCCAACGAUACAACAAGAGAUAUGUCCAAUGAAACGACAAACCCUUCAACGAAUCAAACUAAUCAUGUUUAUGAGACAAAGAAAACAUCUAAAAGGAUCAACACUUUAUUGUUUGGUGUAGUCGGACUAGCAGGAUUGUCAUUAAUCAUAUUCAUACUGUAUUUUUAUACACGAGUACUAGAGAAACGUCUUUUGAACAGAGCAACAGUUUAGAGAAUUUGUAGUUGACCAGACACGAAUUUGCUAUAAGUAGACAAAUAAAAACUACAGCAAUAGCAAUUAAAUGUAUAACUAUUUCCUUUUCUUUUUCAGUCAAAGGUUUCAAAGUAUUUUUUUUUAUUAAGUUAAUAACUCGUUUCAUAAAUCAGCUUCUUUGAAUUGCCAAUUAAAAGAUACAAUCAUGUGUUGAAAUUGUUUACCUAGUUAUUUUAAUAAAUGUUAUUUAAGGAUGUUUAAUUUGCGAUAAGUCGAUAUAAUCUGAAGUGUUUGCAAUAGAUUUUUCAGAUUGUGUGAUACGAUAUCGACCUGAUUCUUUUUGUGUUAUAUUGUCACAGGCUAAAAUAAACUUAACUAUAUCAUAAAUUAAUACAGGACAUCAAUAUGAACACAUUAUACGAAUAGUUUUUAUUCUGCAUUUUCGACAGAAAACAAAAUAACACGCAUAUAUUGCAUGUACAUGUAUC